GAUGGGGGGAGAGGCCCUGCAACGCCCAUAUGUGCCCCCACGGCCCUGUUAGGGACAGGAGGAGAACCUCGCCCUAACAUGAGCAAAGUCGAAGGCCCGAUUACACUGAGACCGGAUGGGGGGAGAGACCCUGCAAUGCCCAUAUGUGCCCCCAUAGCCCUGUUAGGGACAGAAGGAGAAUCUCGCCCUAACUUGAGCAAAGUCGUAGGCCCGGUGAC
rnacentral:lncRNA from 1 species